UUGUUUGAAUGUAUCAUAAUUAAAAAAUGUGCCACGUAUACAUAACAACAAGAAAUUUAACUGGUUCAAACGAUUGCAGAUGGGUGACCAAAAAAGUCAACCCAAACGAUUGCCUGGUACAGCCGUUUACUCAAAACGUUAAUGAAGAGAAGCCGAAGUUGCACCUCCUUCAUCGGGCAUCUACUCAAAAUCCACCACCAAGAGAAGCUGAAGCUGCAUCUCCUCCAACAAGCAUCCUACAAAGUGGCAUUAAGUCACUUGAGAGUUCAUUCCAACCUUCAAAAUUAGCAUGCCGAUCAAAAUGGUGUAAAGCCCAAUUAAUGCCUCUUCCUAUUAUUGUAAACAUUAACAAACAACAUAUAAGAGCACCCAAUACAAAAUUUCAUAAGUUCUUAUUUAAAAUUUUAAAUCAGAAUUAGUUCCUAAAAAAAAAAAAAAACCCAAAUCGAUAUCAUUAAAGAGCAUUUGGAGAUGGAAGCAACACUUACAAUGAGAUCGCGGACUCAGUUUUUCCAUCAAUGAUCAACGACAAUACGACAUAGAUCAAAGGCAAAAUAGGCAACUAACAAAAAGAAACAAGCAAAUUAGAACAUACUUUACAAAAAAUGCUGUAGAAUUGGGUGAUAAAAUGUUGUAGAAGUGGGUGAUUAUCGAUGGCCAAGAAUCACAAGAAAUAUUAAUAGUGGCAUCCGACCGACCAGCCAAGUCGCAAGAAAAAAGAACACCGGUGGCGACGAUUUUUUAGGCGGAGACGCAGCAGUCUUAUACAUGGAUCGACUACGAUUUGGUUAUUUUGUUUCAAUUUGACAGCACCAAUUUCUUUUAUCCCCUUCACAAUCCCUCGUCAAUUUUCCACUGUAAAAAAAUUUUGACACCAUUUGGUCCAGUUGCCCAUUACAUAAGACUUAACCAAUUCAACCAUUUUUUUU
rnacentral:lncRNA from 1 species